AUCAAUAAGCGGAGGAAAAGAAACUAACAAGGAUUCCCCUAGUAACUGCGAGUGAAGCGGGAAGAGCUCAAAUUUGUAAUCUGGCGGUCUUAGGCCGUCCGAGUUGUAAGCUCGAGAAGCGUCUUCUGUGCCGGACCGUGUACAAGUCCCUUGGAACAGGGCGUCAUAGAGGGUGAGAAUCCCGUCUCUGACACGGACUGCCGGUGCUAUGUGAUGCGCUCUCAAAGAGUCGAGUUGUUUGGGAAUGCAGCUCAAAAUGGGUGGUAAAUUCCAUCUAAAGCUAAAUACAGGCGAAAGACCGAUAGCGAACAAGUACCGUGAGGGAAAGAUGAAAAGCACUUUGGAAAGAGAGUUAAACAGUACGUGAAAUUGUUGAAAGGGAAACGCUUGAAGUCAGUCGCGCGUCUCGCGGGAUUCAGCCUUUGCCAUCCGGCUAGGUGUAUUUCCCGCGUUAGACGGGCCAGCAUCAAUUCAGAUCGCCAGAGAAAGGCCUUGGGAAUGUGGCACCUCCGCGGUGUGUUAUAGCCCUUGGGGUCAUAUGUGGCGGUCUGGAUUGAGGACUGCAGCACGCCUUUAUUGGCCGGGGUUCGCCCACGUAACGUGCUUAGGAUGCUGGCGUAAUGGCUUCAAACGACCCGUCUUGAAACACGGACCAAGGAGUCCAACAUGCAUGCGAGUGUUUGGGUGAUUAAACCCGGACGCGCAAUGAAAGUGACAGGUCAGGACCUCUGUCGUGGAGGGCACUGACGCCCGGACCAGACCUUUAUAAGUGACGGUUCCGAGGUAGAGCAUGUAUGCUGGGACCCGAAAGAUGGUGAACUAUGCUUGAGUAGGGCGAAGCCAGAGGAAACUCUGGUGGAGGCUCGUAGCGGUUCUGACGUGCAAAUCGAUCGUCGAACUUGGGCAUAGGGGCGAAAGACUAAUCGAACCAUCUAGUAGCUGGU
rnacentral:rRNA from 1 species